rnacentral:rRNA from 1 species
AUUGAACGCUGGCGGAAUGCUUUACACAUGCAAGUCGAGCGGCAGCACGGGGGCAACCCUGGUGGCGAGCGGCGAACGGGUGAGUAAUACAUCGGAACAUGCCCAGUCGUGGGGGGAUAACACUUCGAAAGAAGUGCUAAUACCGCAUACGUCCUGAGGGAGAAAGCGGGGGAUCGCAAGACCUCGCGCGAUUGGAGUGGCCGAUGUCAGAUUAGCUAGUUGGUGGGGUAAAGGCCUACCAAGGCAACGAUCUGUAGCUGGUCUGAGAGGAUGAUCAGCCACACUGGGACUGAGACACGGCCCAGACUCCUACGGGAGGCAGCAGUGGGGAAUUUUGGACAAUGGGGGCAACCCUGAUCCAGCCAUUCCGCGUGAGUGAAGAAGGCCU